CUAAGCCGGUCACUGGGGAAAACCAUGUGAUUGCUGUGAUGAGCUUAGAAUGAUCAUUCCUCCUUCGGGAGCUGGGGUGGGUUGAGGGAGUGAUAAAGAUCACGAUAACCUUGCAUUUCUCCAGCGAGAAAGAAGAAAGAAAUUCCGUGGAUAGGGAGCCAGCCAGGUUUCCUGCAGAAAAUCAUGGGAAGCUUUUGAGCAGGGGAGUCAGAAGAUGAGCGGUGAGUAUUAGGGCUUUCCGGUCACGGUGUGACACAGGGAUUGGCCAGCUCUUCCUGUAAAGGGCCAGGUGGGAAGCACUCGUAGGCCCCGUGGUCUCUGUCGUGUCUGCUGAAGCCUGCCGUAGUAGCGUGGAAGCAGUCAGAGAUGACGUGUAAGCAAAUGGUCCCGACUGACCUCCGGUAAAGCAUUGAUUCCGGAAGCAUUUAACAGACCUAACAACCUUUCAAACCGCAUGGCGUUUCUUUCCCGGAUCCCGUUUCAGGAACGUUUCUGUUGGCUACAAGGACCGUCUCCAACAUGCUUAGGCUCUGUGAACUUUCCCAGGAUCCUGAGUAGGGUAUCCGCCAUUCGUCCUUAGGGCUCCGGGAUGUCUCGUUCUUACUGUGUCCCUGCCAACCCUGGUCCCAUCUCGUCAUGAUCACCCACUGCAGAAGAGAGGAGGUUCUCACAGUAGACGAGGAGCCUGUUUUUCAGCUAGCUGCCACAAGGGGGCUGGAAAUUUCUCCCUUCAGAGUGGACCUGGAAGGCUUGGAAGCAUCUGGAGAAGGGCAUGGCCACGAGUAGAGAAAUCCAGGCUACAGGCAGAAGUGGGAGGAAGCGAGAGAGGAAGACUCAUGGAAAGCCUUGCUGCACUCGCCAAAAGAGCUGCCCUCGGACUCAAGAGGGCCACGUUCAAUGUCAACCUGACAUAAGGUAGUCACCUCUGGAGCACUUGUGGCCUGGGGCAAAAACACAGCUGGAUUGAAGGAAGAGUCUUCCCUGUUCCCAGAGGGGCACUGACUGGAAAUGAGCAUGAAGGUGGGGUCCCUAAAGGGCCACAGAACGAGGCCCUAUGCAGGUGUCGGUACAGACUGCCCCAAAAGCCCCCUGAGAAGUUGGUCCUGGGGUGUAAGAGGAAGGCACAGUGAAGAGCAGGAGUGAAAGCUGCUUCAGCACUUUGGAGCAGGAAGGAAAGGAAGUGAGAUACAGUUGGAAGAGGGCGAAGCGGGCAACCUGAGGGAUGGAGUGCAGGGUUUGACCUUCGAUUCUGGAUCUCCUCCAUUAGCAGGCUUCCGGGGUGGCGUUGUUGCCUCUCUGCCGAUCCUUCCUUCGGGUGGGGCUGUCGACUGGCACCACGGCCUGUCAGACCGUGGGCGGGGGGCGUUGCAGGCACAGUGCGGUUCCUAG
rnacentral:lncRNA from 10 species